rnacentral:misc_RNA from 1 species
GAUGAAGAACGUAGUGAAAUGCGAUAAGUAAUGUGAAUUGCAGAAUUCAGUGAAUCAUCGAAUCUUUGAACGCAUCUUGCGCUCCUUGGUAUUCUGAGGAGCAUGCCUGUUUGAGUGUCAUUAAAUUCUCAACCGCACUGACUUUGAAUUGGUGUGGCUUGGAUUUGGGGGGAAAAUUGUUGUGGGCUUUUUUGUAUAGUCUGCUCCCCUGAAAUUGAUUAGCGGUACCUUUGUGGAACUGUCUACAGGUGUGAUAAUUAUCUACAUCCUAGACAUCUGCUGGAAUGCUGCUUUCUAAACCUUACUUGUAUUGACAAUCUUGACCUCAAAUCAGGUAGGACUACCCGCUGAACUUAAGCAUAUCAAUAAGCGGAGA